rnacentral:rRNA from 1 species
CCUACGGGAGGCAGCCGUGAGGAAUAUUGGUCAAUGGACGCAAGUCUGAACCAGCCAUGUCGCGUGCAGGAAGCCGGCUCUAUGAGUUGUAAACUGCUUUUGUACGAGGGUAAACGCAGAUACGCGUAUCUGUCUGCAAGUAUCGUACGAAUAAGGAUCGGCUAACUCCGUGCCAGCAGCCGCGGUAAUACGGAGGAUUCAAGCGUUAUCCGGAUUUAUUGGGUUUAAAGGGUGCGUAGGCGGAUCGUUAAGUCAGUUGUCAAAGUGAGGGGCUCAACCCCUUCCCGCCAUUGAAACUGGCGCUCUGGAGUGGAAGAGAAGUAUGCGGAAUGCGUGGUGUAGCGGUGAAAUGCAUAGAUAUCACGCAGAACCCCGAUUGCGAAGGCAGCAUGCCGGCUUCCGACUGACGCUGAAGCACGAAAGCGUGGGGAUCGAACAGGAUUAGAUACCCGAGUAGUC